rnacentral:lncRNA from 1 species
UGCUAAUCCAAUCCCUGUUGUUUUUACUCAUGAGGAAGUUGAGGCCCAGAGAGGGGAGAUGUUGGCCACAGUUCUAGCAAGUUAGGACAGAAUUAGAAUUCAGUUCUAAGCCUGCUGCCCCCCGGAGUGUGGGUUCCACUAGGAAGGUGAUAUUUUCAGCAGUAUGACAAUGUGAUUGUUAUUCUUGAUGAACAGGAAAUCAACCUUCAUCCAGGAUUGAAACAUCCAGAAAUUAGGUAAGCAUUUAUUUAGUAAAUUUACUGCAAGUGAGGAAGUGUGAUAUUUGUUUAUCUUGAGUCUAGGUAGGAUUUCAUGUUUUGACUUGUUCUUUCUUUGUCACUCAAUGAAGAUGUUUAACAUGAUUUCAGGAGGUAGGUAGAAUUGAUUUAAGCCACAAUUUCCUUGGAGAUCUCCUCUGUCCUUUCCUAGGUUUGUCUUCCUCUUUCUUUCCCUCUUCUCACCCAUCUGAGCACACAUUCAAUUUUUUCUUCCAUAUAAUUCAACAAACAUGUUUUCAGCUCUGUCAUUUGUCAGGCACUGAGUGGGUAAAAGGUGAAAGGCAUGAUCACUGUCACUAGGAAGAUAACCAUUGAUUUAGGGAAAUAAGGAGACUCCAUUGAGAUUCAAGUUGGAUUAUGAUGCAUAAAAGAAAUAACAUCAGAAUGCCACAGAGGUCCUGCUGGAGAGAUUUAUAACCACUGACAAACUUUAUGGAGGAAGUGGCAUUUGAACUUGAAGGAUGGAUUUUUUCCUACAUUAAAAAAUUUAUCCUUAAAUGCUUUUGUCAAUGAGAUAAAAC